rnacentral:rRNA from 1 species
GUGCACCAGUCGCGAAACCUCCGCAAUACACGAAAGUGUGACGGGGCCAUCCCGAGUGCCGUCCGCUGAGGACGGCUUUUCCCCAGUGUACACAGCUGGGGGAAUAAGGAGAGGGCAAGCCUGGUGUCAGCCGCCGCGGUAAUACCAGCUCUCCGAGUGGUGGGACGCUUAUUGGGCCUAAAGCAUCCGUAGCCGGCUGGGCAAGUCCUCCGUUAAAUCCAACGAUUCAAUCGUUGGGCUGCGGGGGAUACUGUCCAGCUUGGGGCGGGAGAGGCCGACGGUAUUCCCGGGGUAGGGGUGAAAUCCUAUAAUCCCGGGAGGACCACCAGCGGCGAAGGCUGUCGGCUAGAACGCGCCCGACGGUGAGGGGAUGAAAGCUGGGGGAGCGAACCGGAUUAGAUACCCGGUAGU